rnacentral:rRNA from 1 species
UGCCAGACUCCUACGGGAGGCAGCAGUGGGGGAUAUUGCACAAUGGGGGAAACCCUGAUGCAGCGACGCCGCGUGAGUGAAGAAGUAUUUCGGUAUGUAAAGCUCUAUCAGCAGGGACGAAAAUGACGGUACCUGAGUAAGAAGCCCCGGCUAACUACGUGCCAGCAGCCGCGGUAAUACGUAGGGGGCAAGCGUUAUCCGGAUUUACUGGGUUUAAAGGGUGCGCAGGCGGCACGGCAAGCCGGCGGUCAAAUCGCGGGGCUCAACCCCGCCCAGCCGUCGGAACUGCCGGGCUAGAGUGGGCGAGAAGUGCGCGGAAUGCGUGGUGUAGCGGUGAAAUGCAUAGAUAUCACGCAGAACUCCGAUUGCGAAGGCAGCGCACCGGCGCCCUACUGACGCUCAGGCACGAAAGCGUGGGUAUCGAACAGGAUUAGAUACCCCGGUAA